AAAAGUAAGCAAGGGCGCAUGGCGGAUGCCUUGGCUCUCGGAGGCGAUGAAGGACGUGAUAAGCUGCGAUAAGCCACGGGGAGGUGCAAAUAACCUUUGAUCCGUGAAUCUCCGAAUGGGACAACCCGAUAUCCUGAAGGGAUAUCACCUCAUCUAGUUGAGGAGCUAACGCAGGGAACUGAAACAUCUUAGUACCUGCAGGAAAAGAAAAUAACAAUGAUUCCCCCAGUAGUGGCGAGCGAACGGGGAAGAGCCCAAACCACACAUGUUACGGCAUGUGUGGGGUUGUAGGACCACGGCGUUGCAAGAACUCUUGUGAGAAGAACAGCCUGGAAAGACUGACCACAGACGGUGACAGUCCGGUAUUCGAAGCAAGACGAAGCAUAGUGGUAUCCUGAGUAGCGCGGAACACGAGGAAUUCUGCGUGAAUCUGCCGGGACCAUCCGGUAAGGCUAAAUACUCCCGAGAGACCGAUAGCGAACCAGUACUGUGAAGGAAAGGUGAAAAGCACUUCGAAUAGAAGAGUGAAAUAGUCCCUGAAACCGUGCGCCUACAAGCGGUCGGAGCUGCGUAAGCAGUGACGGCGUGCCUUUUGCAUAAUGAACCUACGAGUUACUUUUUCCGGCAAGGUUAAGGAUCUAGAGAUCCGUAGCCGAAGCGAAAGCGAGUCUGAACAGGGCGAUAAGUCGGAAGGAGUAGACGCGAAACCAAGUGAUCUACCCUUGGCCAGGUUGAAGGUUAGGUAACACUAACUGGAGGACCGAACCGAUAAGCGUUGAAAAGCUUCCGGAUGAGCUGAGGGUGGGGGUGAAAGGCUAAUCAAACUUGGAGAUAGCUCGUACUCCCCGAAAUGCAUUUAGGUGCAGCCUUGCGGGUUACUGAUGUGAGGUAGAGCGACUGAUAAGAUGCGAGGGCUUCACCGCCUAUCAAGUCUUGAUAAACUCCGAAUGCGCAUUAGUUCUAUCACAGGAGUGAGGGCAUGGGUGCUAAGGUCCAUGUCCUAAAGGAGAAGAAUCCGGACCAUCAGCUAAGGUCCCGAAAUAGAUACUAAGUUGAACUAACGAAGUCAGAUUGCUAAGACAGCUAGGAUGUUGGCUUGGAAGCAGCCAUUCAUUUAAAGAGUGCGUAACAGCUCACUAGUCGAGGAGUUUGGCGUGGAUAAUAAUCGGGCAUCAAGUAUCUUACCGAAGCUAUGGGAUCAUUAAUGAUCGGUAGGGGAGCAUUCCACUCCGCGUCGAAGGUGAAGCGUGAGCUUUGCUGGAGCGUGUGGAAAAGCAAAUGUAGGUAUAAGUAACGAUAAAGGGGGUGAGAAACCCCCUCGCCGAAAGACUAAGGUUUCCUGAUCAACGCUAAUCGGAUCAGGGUUAGUCGGGUCCUAAGGCUCAGCCGAACGGCGAGGCCGAUGGCAGAACCGGUUAAUAUUCCGGUACUACCUCAAGGAGUGACGUGGAGACGGAGCAGUGACAGUGCCGCGGACUGACGGAAUAGUCCGUUAAAGGGUGUAGAUGUUGAUUCCUGCAGGCAAAUCCGCAGGAAGAGUCGAACCUGAGAGUAUGGAGCGUCCUUCGGGACAAUCCAAUAGUGCACGUAAACAUACUCCCGAGAAAAUCCGCUAAACUUAAUCCUUGUGGUACCCGUACCGCAAACGGACACACGUAGUCGGGUUGAAUAUACUAAGGCGCUUGAGUGAUUCACGGUUAAGGAACUAGGCAAACUGACCCUGUAACUUCGGGAUAAAGGGUCCUCAGGGUGACUUGAGGCGCAGAGAAUCGGUCCAGGCAACUGUUUAACAAAAACACAGGGCUGUGCAAAAUAGAAAUAUGAAGUAUACAGCCUGACACCUGCCCGGUGCUGGAAGGUUAAGAGGAGAUGUCAUCGCAAGAGAAGCAUUGAAUUGAAGCCCCAGUAAACGGCGGCCGUAACUAUAACGGUCCUAAGGUAGCGAAAUUCCUUGUCGGGUAAGUUCCGACCUGCACGAAUGGUGUAAUGAUCCGGACGCUGUCUCAACCGUGAGCUCAGUGAAAUUGUAGUAUCGGUGAAGAUGCCGAUUACCCGCGAUGGGACGAAAAGACCCCGUGAACCUUUACUAUAGCUUAACAUUGAAUUUGGGUAAUUGAUGUGUAGGAUAGGCCGGAGGCUUUGAAGCAGGUACGCCAGUAUUUGUGGAGCCGCUGUUGAAAUACGGCCCUUUGAUUAUUUGAGUUCUAACCCGUUGUAACGGGGACACUGUUUGGUGGGUAGUUUGACUGGGGUGGUCGCCUCCAAAAG
rnacentral:rRNA from 1 species